GGCCAGGUAGCUCAGUUGGUAGAGCAAAGGACUGAAAAUCCUUGUGUCGGCGGUUCGAGCCCGCCUCUGGCCACCA
rnacentral:tRNA from 1 species